UCCAAGUAAAUCCACUAUAGCGAGUCAUCUGACCAAACAGGACAUAAAACUGUAACUCGUUUGAGUUGCUCUUGAUUACAAAGUUUGAUAUUUUGAUCUAACUUUUGCAAAACAGUCAGCAACCCAACCUCUCAAUGUUUAGUGUAAAGACUUCCAGAUUCUCCUCCAGCAGAGAUUUUAGAGGUAAAUGUAACGACAAUGAACUAGACCUCAAAGGCAAGUGUCCACCUGUGUGUAGGACUACUGACGAGAAACACAAAACUAUAGCCAGGUUCUAAUUACAAGCAGCCGCAUUCCAUAACUUAUCACUCUAACUCUAUUAACAAUGGCAAACUCUUUAACAAUGUUUUAGUUCCUUAUGAUAAAAGACACUCACAGGAUAACUGUUCUGCAGUCUGCAUCUUCUUUUUACCAAAAU